UGGGGAAUCUUAGACAAUGGGGGAAACCCUGAUCUAGCCAUGCCGCGUGAGCGAUGAAAGGCCCUUAGGGUUGUAAAGCUCUUUCAGCUGGGAAGAUAAUGACGGUACCAGCAGAAGAAGCCCCGGCUAACUCCGUGCCAGCAGCCGCGGUAAUACGGAGGGGGCUAGCGUUGUUCGGAAUUACUGGGCGUAAAGCGCACGUAGGCGGAUUAGUCAGUCAGAGGUGAAAUCCCAGGGCUCAACCCUGGAACUGCCUUUGAUACUGCUAGUCUUGAGGUCGAGAGAGGUGAGUGGAAUUCCCGAGUGUAGAGGUGAAAUUCGUAGAUAUUCGGAGGAACACCAGUGGCGAAGGCGGCUCACUGGCUCGAUACUGACGCUGAGGUGC
rnacentral:rRNA from 1 species